rnacentral:lncRNA from 1 species
UUGGGCAGCGGCUACAUUUCUCUACCAAGGCUGUAGGCUGCAGCUCCUGUUGCGGGGGCUGCCAGCUCCCAUGGCCACAGCUCCCGCCCUUUCCCUCUCCUCCUGGGAUGGUAGCCACCCUGGGUGCUUUAUCAUAGUUUCCUUAAAGCUGCCCCCCACCUCUGUAAAUAGCCUCUUCAUUUAUGCCCCUUCAAUGAAACCUUGGCGUGUUUCCUGUGUUCCCUGCCAGGACUGACUGAUACACUCCUCAACCCCCCACCGCCUCCCUCUCCCUCCACCCUCUUGCGGGGCGAGAGAGUUUGUAGAUCUCCCUUGGUCACUGGUGAUUCUUCCCUUUGAGCUUGCACAAGUUGCUUAUGCUCUCAGUUUUCUCUUGGGAAAAGUGGGAAUAAUUGUCCGACUUCAUUCCCGGGAUGUUUGCAAGGAUUCAACGCGUGCUCGCGAGUCGCGUGCGUGGCACAGUGCCUGGCCUACGGCAGAGCCUCGGUAACCAUCGGCUCCUUCCCCUUGCGGAGGGGCUUCCUCCCCACACCUGCCUGGAGCUGACCUGGGGAGAGCGCGCGCUCUGAGACGGGAACUUCGGGACAGAGGGAGUGCUCCUGAGGACAAAUCCUGUUUAAAACCACACCUGUGACUGCAUUAACCGAGAGAGUGCCUCUCCACGCUUCAUUUGCCUUUUAAAUGAAGAGUGGGAUGGGCUGUGAGUGGGGGCUCUGCUCAUUACAGGAGGACAGAAGAGGCUGCGCGCCCUCCGCAGGCCCACGCUGUCCGCCAUUAGCACAGCCCGGCCCGGCGCUGCUCGCACAUUAGCCUUCAGGAAUAAAAAGAAUGAUUUCGCACUAGGUUUGUGGUAAUUUACGACAGCAGCAAUAAGAAACUAAUACAAUGAAGAACCGAAUACCAGCCUUUUACAUAAAGACAGGCUCAGGAGAUGAUAGGCCCCCGGCCUGCGGAC